AAACCGAGGGUGCGAGCGUUAAUCGGAAUUACUGGGCGUAAAGAGCGUGUAGGUGGAUAAUCAAGUCGGAUGUGAAAGCCCCGGGCUUAACCUGGGAACUGCAUACGAAACGGGUUAUCUAGAGUGUGGCAGAGGAAAGUGGAAUUCCCGGUGUAGCGGUGGAAUGCGUAGAUAUCGGGAGGAACACCAGUGGCGAAGGCGACUUUCUGGGCCAACACUGACACUGAGACGCGAAAGCGUGGGUAGCGAACAGGAUUAGAUACCCGUGUAGUCC
rnacentral:rRNA from 1 species